rnacentral:rRNA from 1 species
AAAGAUUAAGCCAUGCAUGUCUAAGUUCAAGCAAAAAUAAAGUGAAACCGCGAAUGGCUCAUUAUAUCAGUUAUGGUUCCUUAGAUCGCACUUACUACUUGGAUAACUGUGGUAAUUCUAGAGCUAAUACAUGCGCUGGACUCCAACCCUUGUGGAAGGAGUGCUUUUAUUAGAUCAAAGCCAAUCGGGUCUUCGGAUUCGUUUUGUUGGUGACUCUGAAUAACUUUGCUGAUCGUACGGUCUCGCACCGACGACGUAUCUUUCAAGUGUCUGCCUUAUCAACUGUCGAUGGUAAGUUAUGCGCUUACCAUGGUUG